CUAUGGCAACAUGGCUUUUUUCUACCAUGGCCUCAACCAAACGGAGCUUGCUCUAAGGCACAUUUCUCGAACAUUGCUUUUCUUAAGUGUAUCCUGUGGUCCAGUCCAUCCUGAUGUUGCUACUACUUUCAUAAAUUUUGCAAUGAUGUACCAGGAUAUUCGAAAGAUGAAUAUAGCCCUUUGCUAUUUGCAAGAAACUUUAAAAUAGAAUGAGCGGUUUCUAGGUGAGGAACAUAUUCAAACUGCUGUAUGCUAUCAUGCGCUUGCCAUUGCAUUCAACUGUAUGGGUGCCUACAAACUCUCACUCUGGCAUAAAAAGAAGACUUAUGAUAUACUUGUUAAGAAGUUAGGGAGGAAGAUUCAAGGACGCGUGACUCACAGAACUGGAUAAAGACCUUUGUUGUGCGUGAACUUCAGAUUAAUGCUCAGAAACAGAGAGGGCUUGCAGUAAAUUCAGCUCCUGCUCAGAAGGCUCUUGAUAUCUUGAAGGCAGGGUCGGGAAAUGGUGCAAGUCAAUAAAUCUCUCAGUGCAAUUAUGGGUGAGACCCUUCCUCAAGGAAGGGGAAUUGACAAGCGGGCUGCCUGAGCAGCUGCAGCUAGGGGCCUCCUUGUACGUCCACACGGUGUCUCUGACCAAGCUUUACCACUGCUCACGCAACUCCUUCACAUCAUCAACUCAGGGAUGACCCCAGAAGUCCCGAACAGUGGACAAUUGGAAGAGCCGAAACCAGAGGUUAAUGGCCCAAAGGAAAAUGGCUCCAUUGCUGUCAAACAAGAUCAGGCUCCAGCUGGAUUAGGCACAGGGUUAGCUGCAUUGGGUUCCACGAAGCAGAAAAACCAAAAUUUACAACUUGAAAUUUUGAUGACUCUGAUUGCACGAGGAGCUUCCUGGUUCAAGUUUUGGUUCAUGAGGUUAGGUUAUUUAUCUUGCCUUUUUUGGAUACGGCGAAAAGACUACUUAUCUCAGGGAGGUCUAUGGAAAUUUUUUGAAAAAACGUCAACGACUGCUGGCUUAUUUGUCAAAGAAAAAUCGAGUCCAUUAUAAACAAUUAAUUAUUCAGUUGGAUAUUCGAGAGGCCAAAACUCGUUAAUUUGAAGAUUCAUUUUGAAUUAUUUGAUUUACCAUUCUUUGUCGAAA